rnacentral:rRNA from 1 species
CAAAAACAUAGCCCCCUGAUAUAUAUAACAUAGGGGGUGUAGCCUGCCCAGUGGAAAACCAUUUCUAAACGGCCGCGGUAUCUUGACCGUGCAAAGGUAGCAUAAUCACUUGUCUCUUAAAUGGGGACCUGUAUGAACGGCUUCACAUUCUUAAACUGUCUCCCUUUUUAACCUCAUAAACUUCUACACACGUGAAGAAGCGUGCGAAAAUUAGAAAGACGAGAAGACCCUGUCGAGCUUUAGUCAACCUCAAAACAACUUAAACUCUUUAAGAAAAGUAGACUUUAGAGCUAGACUUUGGUUGGGGCAACCAUGGAGAAAAACAAUCCUCCAGUUCACUAGGCAGAAACCUCUUCCCCUAAAAAUUUUUUAGAACCAGUCAUUCUGGAAAACGGAAAAAGUUACCGCAGGGAUAACAGCGUUAUCUCCUCUAAGAGCUCAUAUUGACGAGGAGGUUUGCGACCUCGAUGUUGGAUUGGGGUAACCUAAGGGUGCAGCAGCUCUUAAGGGUCGGACUGUUCGUCCGUUAAUUCCCUACGUGAUCUGAGU